GGGAAUCUUCGGAUUCUAGUGGCGGACGGGUGAGUAACGCGUAAGAAUCUAACUUCAGGACGGGGACAACAGUUGGAAACGACUGCUAAUACCCGAUGUGCCGAAAGGUGAAACCUAAUUGGCCUGAAGAAGAGCUUGCGUCUGAUUAGCUAGUUGGUGGGGUAAAGGCCUACCAAGGCGACGAUCAGUAGCUGGUCUGAGAGGAUGAGCAGCCACACUGGGACUGAGACACGGCCCAGACUCCUACGGGAGGCAGCAGUGGGGAAUUUUCCGCAAUGGGCGAAAGCCUGACGGAGCAACGCCGCGUGAGGGAGGAAGGUCUUUGGAUUGUAAACCUCUUUUCUCAAGGAAGAAGUUCUGACGGUACUUGAGGAAUCAGCCUCGGCUAACUCCGUGCCAGCAGCCGCGGUAAUACGGGGGAGGCAAGCGUUAUCCGGAAUUAUUGGGCGUAAAGCGUCCGCAGGUGGUCAGCCAAGUCUGCCGUCAAAUCAGGUUGCUUAACGACCUAAAGGCGGUGGAAACUGGCAGACUAGAGAGCAGUAGGGGUAGCAGGAAUUCCCAGUGUAGCGGUGAAAUGCGUAGAGAUUGGGAAGAACAUCGGUGGCGAAAGCGUGCUACUGGGCUGUAUCUGACACUCAGGGACGAAAGCUAGGGGAGCGAAAGGGAUUAGAUACCCCUGUAGUCCUAGCCGUAAACGAUGGAUACUAGGCGUGGCUUGUAUCGACCCGAGCCGUGCCGAAGCUAACGCGUUAAGUAUCCCGCCUGGGGAGUACGCACGCAAGUGUGAAACUCAAAGGAAUUGACGGGGGCCCGCACAAGCGGUGGAGUAUGUGGUUUAAUUCGAUGCAACGCGAAGAACCUUACCNAGACUUGACNUGUCGCGAACCCNGGNGAAAGCUGGGGGNUGCCUUCGGNA
rnacentral:rRNA from 1 species